rnacentral:rRNA from 1 species
CACGUAGGCGUCCCGAUAAGUUUUUGGUGAAAUCCUUCUGCUCAACGGAAGAUCUGCCAGAAAAACUGUUGGGAUUGAGUUCGGAAGAGGAAAGCGGAAUUCCUGGUGUAGCGGUGAAAUGCGUAGAUAUCAGGAAGAACACCGGUGGCGAAGGCGGCUUUCUGGUCCGAAACUGACGCUGAGGUGCGAAAGCGUGGGGAGCGAACAGGAUUAGAUACCCUGGUAGUCC